AAAAGUGCCCAAUGCGGGAAUCGAACCCGGGUCCUAGUGGUCGAAAACCAAAUGGUUUAACCAGCCUUCCACUGACCCCAACUUUUU
rnacentral:tRNA from 1 species